UUGACGGGGCCCGCACAAGCGGUGGAGCAUGUGGUUUAAUUCGAAGCAACGCGAAGAACCUUACCAGGUCUUGACAUCCCGAUGCUAUUUCUAGAGAUAGAAAGUUACUUCGGUACAUCGGUGACAGGUGGUGCAUGGUUGUCGUCAGCUCGUGUCGUGAGAUGUUGGGUUAAGUCCCGCAACGAGCGCAACCCUCGUCCUAUGUUGCCAGCGGGUCAUGCCGGGGACUCAUGGGAGACUGCCGGGGUCAACUCGGAGGAAGGUGGGGAUGACGUCAAAUCAUCGUGCCCCUUAUGUCUUGGGCUUCACGCAUGCUACAAUGGCCGGUACAAAGGGCUGCGAUACCGCGAGGUGGAGCGAAUCCCAGAAAGCCGGUCUCAGUUCGGAUUGGGGUCUGCAACUCGACCCCAUGAAGUCGGAGUCGCUAGUAAUCGCAGAUCAGCAACGCUGCGGUGAAUACGUUCCCGGGCCUU
rnacentral:rRNA from 1 species